rnacentral:lncRNA from 1 species
GCCACUGUAUAAUUUCCUAAUUGACAUCCUAAUUUCUUCCAAAAAAGCCGAAGUUGAUUCAAACAUAGAUUCCUUUUCAACAUAUAUAAGCCAUCAUGCAGUUUAUCAUUGCCAAUCCUCUUCCCAAUUUGAAGGUCUUGAAUAACACAAUGGUUAGGAAAAAUUUAAUUUUACAGUUAAGUGCUUGGUGAGAGCACUAACCGAUAAAAGAUUAAUA